GAAAACCCAGACAAGGAUGCCCUGAUAGCACCAUGGCCUCUACUGGUUAUUAAUCACAGAAUCCAGACCACAACAGCACAACAGCAUCAACUCACUUCCUCAUACAACAGAGAAUUUCUCCCAGUUUGUCCUUUAUGGUUAUUCAUCACCAGUGAUCCAGCAGAGCGUACAAAAUUUUUCUAAGGACUGCCAAGUACAAGUGAUGUAAUUGCCUGAUGGUGGUGAUAUUUGCAAGACCUUUGGAGAGUUCAGAAUUAGCUUCUUUACAGGUGAAGGCUGUGAGAGAACUCAUGAUAUUUCUGCAGUGGACUCCACAAGCUGUACUGGGAGGCUCUCCAGAGGAAGCUGCCACUCCCACUAUGCCCAGAGCAGAUGCCCAGCAGCCCCACAAGGGUGGAGGCACUGAUGCCACGGAACAGCACCGAGCUGCUCCCUGGCACCGGGGCACAGGGAUACACCCUGGAAUGUGUCACACAUCAGCUGGGUCACACGUGGAGCCCCGGUGUCACUACUGUGGCCACUCUCCUCCCAGACACUGCAAGUUCAGGCUGCCUUCUGCCAGCAGAGGUACUGAAGUGAGAGUGUGAGGAAGAAAAGCUGAUGUAAUGUCUUCCAGGAAAGUGAUGAAAGAAAGAGGAAAUAAAUGUUUGGAAUUUUGUCCUCUUUUUGUCUCA
rnacentral:lncRNA from 1 species